rnacentral:rRNA from 1 species
ACUCCUACGGGAGGCAGCAGUGGGGAAUAUUGCACAAUGGGCGCAAGCCUGAUGCAGCCAUGCCGCGUGUAUGAAGAAGGCCUUCGGGUUGUAAAGUACUUUCAGCAGUGAGGAAGGUGGAGUCGUUAAUAGCGGCCUCAUUUGACGUUAGCUGCAGAAGAAACCCGGCUAACUCCGUGCCAGCAGCCGCGGUAAUACGGAGGGGGUUAGCGUUGUUCGGAAUUACUGGGCGUAAAGCGCGCGUAGGCGGACUAGUUAGUCAGAGGUGAAAUCCCAGGGCUCAACCCUGGAACUGCCUUUGAUACUGCUAGUCUUGAGUUCGAGAGAGGUGAGUGGAAUUCCGAGUGUAGAGGUGAAAUUCGUAGAUAUUCGGAGGAACACCAGUGGCGAAGGCGGCUCACUGGCUCGAUACUGACGCUGAGGUGCGAAAGUGUGGGGAGCAAACAGGAUUAGAUACCCUGGUAGGCUCUGCU